rnacentral:lncRNA from 1 species
AGAAGCCAGCAACUUAAAUUUCUGUUUAACUAGUGGAACAUUGGAAACAUACUUACAGCUUUAGCAUAAGAAAAGUUCAACAACAUACAAGAUUCUGAUCAACAUAUGCUGCACGGUAUUAUGUUGGUCCAGUUCCUCUACUCUGCAUUGCAACAAAGUGUAAGGGGUUUCGUAUUUUCUCAAUCCUUCUCAAUAAAAGAAUAAGAGAAAUUGAGAGCUAAGACCAUUUUCUUUCAUUGUACCUCUGUUUCCUCUGCUCCUUUCUCUCUUGGUCAGGCCAAAUGGUGUGUGGUUUGUCCAUUUCUUCUUCACCCCACAUCAAAAAGCAGCAUCCUGGGCUCUCCCAUCUCUCUAUCCCCUUAUCAAGACAGAAUUUGAUGCAUUGCUGUCUUGGAUUCUUCCUAGUCAAAAGGAAGCUUGAAAUGUCUCCACUGCUUCUGCAAAAGUUACCUACUUGUUGAGGGAACAUGCCCCAUCCAAACUAUCUGUAUUUGGGCUUCAUGGUUGUUUUUGGCUUUGCUUUUCUUUUUCUUGUGGUUGUUACUCCUCUUAAAAGGACUAUUGAUUCAUGAUUCAAUGGAUUAUU